rnacentral:rRNA from 1 species
UCCACGCCGUAAACGAUGGAUACUAGCUGUUCGAUCUUCGGAUUGAGUGACUAAGCGAAAGUGAUAAGUAUCCCACCUGGGGAGUACGUUCGCAAGAAUGAAACUCAAAGGAAUUGACGGGGGCCCGCACAAGCGGUGGAGCAUGUGGUUUAACUCGAUCAUACGCGAGGAACCUUACCAGGGCUUAAAUGUAGCUGGACAGAUUUAGAAAUAGAUCCUCC